GUCGACGUACUUCAGUAUGCAUUCUCCCCUACUAGCUGAUCUUAACCGAUCCAGCAAUGAUCCCGCUUUCCAAGUUGGAUUCCCAAAGUUCCUUUUCACUAACACCUGCCACAGUAGGAUCAUUUCUAUAGGAAUCGUCACUCUUUGACUCUUCAAAAGAGCCACUGAAUCCAACUUGGUUGAUGAGUCGCAGAACCUUUGCACCCUAGAGUGAGACCAAAGAUGUUUCCCUAGCUUGGUCCACAGUCCUCAGCGGCUUGGCCAUCUACCUGCAUUUUUGUUUUGCCUUUUGCUUUUGCGCAGCAGCCUUCGGGCAGCAGUGCUUCAAAGAGGCGCGAUGAUCUUGGCCCUGUCCGUGCACUUCCUCGUGAAGGGAUGGAUAUCUGGGUGGGUGCGAACGGCAGUCUGAC